rnacentral:rRNA from 1 species
GUGGGGAAUAUUGGGCAAUGGAGGAAACUCUGACCCAGCGACGCCGCGUGCGGGAUGAAGGCCUUCGGGUUGUAAACCGCUUUCAGUAGGGAAGAAGCGAAAGUGACGGUACCUACAAAAGAAGCACCGGCUAACUAUGUGCCAGCAGCCGCGGUAAUACAUAGGGUGCAAGCGUUGUCCGGAAUUAUUGGGCGUAAAGAGCUCGUAGGUCGUUUGUUACGUCGGAUGUGAAAACCUGAGGCUCAACCUCAGGCCUGCAUUCGAUACGGGCAAACUAGAGUUUGGUAGGGGAGACUGGAAUUCCUGGUGUAGCGGUGGAAUGCGCAGAUAUCAGGAGGAACACCAAUGGCGAAGGCAGGUCUCUGGGCCAAUACUGACACUGAGGAGCGAAAGUCUGGGGAGCGAACAGGAUUAGAUA